rnacentral:rRNA from 1 species
CAGUCGCCGCGGUAACACGGAGGGAGCUAGCGUUGUUCGGAAUUACUGGGCGUAAAGCGCGCGUAGGCGGUUACUCAAGUCAGAGGUGAAAGCCCGGGGCUCAACCCCGGAACUGCCUUUGAAACUAGGUGACUAGAAUCUUGGAGAGGUCAGUGGAAUUCCGAGUGUAGAGGUGAAAUUCGUAGAUAUUCGGAAGAACACCAGUGGCGAAGGCGACUGACUGGACAAGUAUUGACGCUGAGGUGCGAAAGCGUGGGGAGCAAACAGGAUUAGAGACCCGCGUAGUCCCUGUCUCUUAUAA